rnacentral:tRNA from 1 species
GCGCCUGUAGCUCAGCUGGAUAGAGUGCACGGCUACGAACCGUGAGAUCAGGGGUUCGAGUCCCUUCAGGCGUGCCA